rnacentral:rRNA from 1 species
UACGUAGGUGGCAAGCGUUGUCCGGAAUUAUUGGGUGUAAAGGGCUCGCAGGCGGUUUCUUAAGUCUGAUGUGAAAGCCCCCGGCUCAACCGGGGAGGGUCAUUGGAAACUGGGAAACUUGAGUGCAGAAGAGGAGAGUGGAAUUCCACGUGUAGCGGUGAAAUGCGUAGAGAUGUGGAGGAACACCAGUGGCGAAGGCGACUCUCUGGUCUGUAACUGACGCUGAGGAGCGAAAGCGUGGGGAGCGAACAGG